GAAAGGGCGAGGUGUUCAAAAAGGUUUUAAAGCAUCUAAGAAGCGUUUUGCCAAUGGAUCUGCAAAGCUAAAUAUUACAUUCUCUGAAAAAUUGGGUGGUACAGUAGGAAUGAACUAUCGUUCGUUCAAGGAUGACGUGGUAGUCAUAAUGAAAAGAAAGUUACCACUCAUUGGAGUGAGGACGUGGUCGGACAUUCACCCUACCAUUCAUCGACUCAUUGUUGCAGACAUGAUAGACAGAUGGGACUUGGAAGAUACACCAGAAACAGAAGAAAAAGUUCUCAAAAUUGCGAAAGAGAGAUAUAGAGGUUGGCGAUCAACUCUAAGCUCCACUUACAAGGCAUACAAAACAGAUGCAGCUAGAUUGGCUAAUCUGCCGGAAGAUUU